AAUAAAUAGAGGACAUUUGGCUUUGGCUGCUGUUUCCUUUCUCCAGCAAGAACCCUGAAGGAAGCUUUCCCUGGAUUGACUCUGAUUUUCCCUGUGGUUGGUUGUUCCUUCAGAGAUGCUGUAUUGCUUCUGAUUACAAUAUUGGCAGAGGAAGACAGUUUCAGGAGAUUCCAUUUUCCUUUCCCACUAUGUGCCUCUAAUUACAGGGGCAUUUCUUAUUAGGUUAAGUGAAGACAGUCUCCUCAGAAGCCUCCUAGGGAACACAGUCAAAAGGUGAGUUGCCAGAACAAACAUAAUACAUUCAUUUUAACAUUAUCAUCCCCUGAUCCCUUCUUUAAUACCAUACCCAAAGACUCUGACAUCUCUACUUUAUUUACUAUAUGGCUUUUUUUUAGUCUAGGCUUCAAGGAGCCAUGCCAGCAAAUUACUACUAGGACCAUAUCCAAGUGUCCCUGCCAAAGCACCGAAUCCAAAAUCAUAAGUAACUGCCCCCAUAAAAAUAAACCCUCCUCUAGGCAGCCCCCAAGUUCAAGUCCUUAAAAACCACUCUAAACACAUUUCAUUGGUGAAUGGCAGUAUUAGUCAUAUCCUCAAUUCCUUUGGUAGGUAUUCUAUUUCUUUCAAAUAUAGUUUAUUUAUUCCUUGAGGAAGAUUUAUGCUUCUGUGUUAGGCUGUGCUGAGAUCUGAGAUCUGAUUCUGGUUCUUUGCCUGGAUGUAAUGAUACUGGAGGUGGUCUUGUGGGGAAAAACAUCAUCAUACGAGGAAAUUAUUUUAGGUGAAGUCAUUACACGGUCACCCAGAAAAGGGAAACUGUUCUCCUCCAGAAAUGGUGAAAGAGGUACUUCUGCUGACCAGAAGUGUUUGAGGAAAUUGGGGGUUGCUGGGGUUUACAAUAUUCUCAGGCUUAUCUAUAUAAAUUUUUCCAUCCCAGGUUAAUGGUUGAAUAGUGCUCUCAAAAAUUCAUGUGCACCCAGAACCUCAGAAUGUGACUUUAUUCAGAAAUAGAAUCUUUGCAGAUGUAAUUAGUUAAGGAUUUCAAGAAGAAAUCAUUCUGGAUUUAGGGUGGGCCCUAAAUCCCAUCCUAGGCCCACCCUAAAUCCAAUGACUCCUGUUGUUAUAAAAAGAGGAGAAGACAUAGAGAAGAUCAUGUGAAAAUGGAAAAUGAAGGCAGAGAUUGGUGUUAUACUGCCACAAGUCAAGGAACAUCAGGAGCCACCUAAGCUGGAAAAGGCAAGGAAGAAGUCUCCCCUAGAGUCUUCAGAGGGAGCACGGCCUAACUGACACCUUAGUUUUAGACUUCUGGUUGUUAGAACUAGGAAAAAAUAAACUUCUUUGUUUUAAGUCAUCCACUUUGUGGUCAUAUGUUAUGGCAGCCAUAGGAAACUAAUAUACAAAGGUCAUACUCUUUCCUUAUCAGGGCUCUGACUUUAACAAAUGAG
rnacentral:lncRNA from 1 species